CUUCGAUACGCAUGCGCCAGGAGCGGCCGCCGUAAAGCGAGACGGGGAAGAUGGCGGCGUGGUGUGCGGGAGGUGCGGGUAGCGCCUGGGUUCGGGGGCUCCUUGGCUGGGCGCGGCCGGAGAGGUGGUUUGCAGCUGGUAGUGUUUUCCCGCUGUCGUGCAUCCACACAAGUACAUCCCUGCAGAAACUUGGGAAGUGGGAGAAAAAGAACAGGAUUGUCUACCCUCCCCAGCUGCCUGGGGAACCUCGCAGACCAGCUGAAAUAUAUCAUUGUCGGAGGGAAAUAAAGUACAGCAAAGAUAAGAUGUGGUAUCUGGCAAAACUGAUUAAAGGAAUGUCCAUUGACCAAGCUCUUGCUCAGUUGGAAUUUAAUGAUAAAAAGGGAGCAAAGGUGAUCAAAGAGGUUCUGUUAGAGGCUCAGGAAAUGGCAGUAAGAAAACACAAUGUGGAAUUCAAAUCAAAUUUACAUAUAGCUGAGUCACUGGCAGGCAAAGGCCACUAUACAAAGCGGAUCCGUUACCAUGGGAAAGGCAUGUAUGGCAUCAUGAAAAUCGUCAAGUGCCACUACUUUGUGAAGUUGGUGGAAGGUCCUCCUCCUCCUCCAGAGCCACGAAAGACUGGUUUUGACCAAGCAAAAGAAUACGUGCAACAGCUGCGCAAUAGAACCCUUGUUCAUACACUGUGAUGAACUUUUGUGACUGUACCUGGAGUGCGUCUGUAGUUCAGCGAAUCCACGUGUUAACCUGUCUUUAAACAAGAGCACAGCAGGGAAAGCAGCCCUGAGUUACGCAGCCCUCCAGCAGGACUGGGCUCAGGGUUUGACUCAGGUCAGCACUGUGUCUGAAGGCCUUCUGGAUGGGUUAAUAUUCUGUCAGCUCAGGUACAGUGAACUUAUAGCACAGUUAUUGCAAGAAAAAGACAAACUGCAGAUAUUGAACCUUGAGCUGGAAAGGUUCGGUCGCCAGGGAUGAUCUCAACCUAGAGCUUAGGUAAUAGCAGCAGCAAAACUCUGUUGUAAUAGUAGACCUGUACCUGUGUUGUGGUUGUGUUCUGUCUGCCCUGUCCACUGGGGAAGCAUCCCAAGAUCUUGGUUUGCCAUAACCUUUUAAAAACAAUACUUGCUAAGUUUUUAUCCUGCCUGUGGCCAUUGGUGUUAGAUAAAUGUGGAACUGUGGAUGAAGACAAAUGGCACCUUCUUGACUGAGAGAUGUGGCUGGAGAAGUCUGUGUUUGAAACAGCUGGAAUUGGAGUGCCCUUAAAAGGAGAAGUUGAUUUCCAAAGUCAACAAAGAGCGGAGACAGCAUGCUGGCACAGUUUUAUGCUGGUACACCAGAGAAAGUGAGUUGGAAUAAGCAACAUGCUGCUCUAAUAAGUGCCUUCAAGUUCAUCUGAAGAGUGGACACACUCUGUGGUAUUGAAACAAAAGUCUCUUUCCUCUUCUAAACCUGGAAGAAGGUCUGCCGGAAGCAAAGGAAAUUGAGUUCUUAACCUUCUUGAAGGUGUUUGUUGCUACCUGUAGUAAUCUUGAUGGUGUUACCACCAAAGAUCCACUCCUGGCUUGGCAAGAAGGUGUCUGUGGAAAAAUAGAAACAACAGGAGAACAUGCAGCAAAGGAGGAGAAGCAAAGUGUAAGGAAAGAAACAGCCCUGGAUCAAAGCCGCAAUCCUGCAGGCUAUGGGACCUAUGUAACAUGUAGGGUGGCCCUUGUCCUGGGGUCUGAGGAGGGAUCUGGAUUGCCCAGGGAUCCAGGCUGACUGUUUUUCAACUGGUUGAAGGCUGUGACAUAACUUUCCCUUGAGAAAUAAGGUGAAAUCUGGGAGGGAAAGAGAAUGCUGGGAGGGCAAAAGUAAUGGCAAGUGCAUGGUCUACCCCCAUGACUUCCAAGUACUGAAGGGAUUUUGGCAGGGAGGUAAGAGCUGAGCAAGGGAAGUCUGGACAACCUGAUAGAUUCAGUAUUGUUCAAAGUUAAUGGCUUAUCUCUUAAAAUGUUACAGAAAAUGCAAGGAUGUUUAUGUGAUGGUUUUGGCAUAUUCUGGCAGAAAGUGCAAGUGAAGAUGUUUCCUCUAUUUGCUCUAAGCUUUUGAUUUUAGUCUGUCACUGUGGGAAAUUCACCAUAAAAAAAAAAAAGAGAAAAGGAAAGAGAGCAUGUGAAGUUCUGUUGCAAACUGUUUGUUUGUUUGUUCAGCAUGGUUUACUGCAGAAAGGAAGCUUAUUCCACCUGCACUGUUUGCAGAUAUCUCCCAGACUCCCCAGUGCUGUCAAAACCUGCUGACCAAGUUUGACAGUUGAGGACAAAUCUGGAAGACAAUGAAAUUUCUAGAAAGUCAGUGACAAGGAGAGCAGAAAUCCUAUAAGCCCCUGAAAGAGUUGUGGUGAGGUCCAGAAAAGAGACCUUAUUGUGAACCUAUUCUAGGAAAACUUUCAGCUAGAGUUCAUCUUUUGCUACAGCACCAUCAGUCACUUGACACAAACCAAAAGGAAAUUGAGCUGCAUUUUUUCUUUUUGUGCUAAUGUGGGCAAAUUCUGGACAACUAUCAGACCUAAGCAUCCUGAACAGGUAAUCCAGCUGAUUUUGGUGGGACAUCCUAUGCUGUGAAGAAGUUCACUUCAUUUGAACAGCACUCGUGCAACUGGAUUCUUUAAUUUCCCGCUGAUUCCUGGGAGUUUGUACAGUUUUGUCCAAGAGAACUGUAAGUCAAACAACAUUUCUUUAAACGCAACCAGCUGCUAGGUACAGCCAUAUAUGUAUUUUUCAUUGCUGGAUAUUUGUAUAAGGUGGUGUAUCCAUCUGUGCCAUUUUGACUGAGCUCCCUGCUGUUCAGUCUUGCUUUUGUCGGUCUCCCCAUAGAGAAACGUGUUUUGCCCGAGUGAUGUCUGCACAUUAUUGUUUUCUUCAUUGCACUCAUAUUCUUAACAUUUAUAAUUUAAAUGUCUUCAGAAAGAAUUGACAGUUGCCUUCUCCAAAGUAAAGGACAAAAUGACUUGUGUUAAUUAUUCUUUCUCACUUACUUGCUUACCAGGACAUAUAUUAUUCUGAGGCUUUUAGUGCCUUGAGCCAAAAAGGGUCAUUACAGCAAGCAGCAUAAUGACCUGACCAAAAAAUAUAAGGGAGAGAAUGAGUCUUUCUCUGUUGAACUCUCUGAAGUCAUUAAUGGAUGCCUUGGGAAUUCUACGAAGCAACAGCUCAGAAAAUAAACAGAAUUGUUCAGUGUUGGAUAUCACUCUCGUGACAUUUAUGCUAUUACAAAGAUUUACAGCUGGAAUAAUUCGAUCUAGGUUUUUCUCUUUCCCCCAUUGACUCACAUUUUGGAAGGCAGUCAGACCCUGAGAGUUGGGUUUUGCAUAAUUGAAGCACCAGAACAUAUUAAAUGGAAAGACUAAUGGGGAUGAAGCUUUCCCCUUCCUUCCAGUCUGGGUUAUCAAUUAUGAAUUAGCGGCAAUCUGAGAUCAAAGGGGUUCCAUUUUUGCAGCUGAAUUUGAAGAUUUUGGAACUGAACAGAUGAAAUGAAGUUAAUGACUCAUUUCAGGAAUGCAGAGACAGGAGUUAACUGACAAGGGUGUCGUUAAGUGUUUGCUUUAAUGCAUUUCUGAGCAUGGACAUUCUCAGAUGUAAAACAGGACACAGAUCAAGUUCCUCAUGUAACGGGAUGUUAGGACCGUGUGCCCUUUGUGGGACGUAACAGAUGCUAAUCUGAUCUGUGAUAUUCAUCUCACUGCUGUAUGUGACCUAUAUGAUAAUAUAGGAUGAUAAUACUGAGAUGUACCAUGGAAGUGCAUUAGGGUUACCAUUGUAUUAGUUACACAGUUUUUUUGCCUUAACACGAGUUCAUUGCUGCAGAGAAAACGCAUCUCUCCAGCAAGAAUAUGACACAUGCUUAAUAUGAAAAACCUAGAGGGUUGUAACUUACGAACUGCUAUGACUUUGUGGAGGGAAAUCCCAACGAACAGUCCAAGGCAGGGCAUAGCUACACACUCCCCCAAGCAGCAAACAAUAAAGCACUUCAUGAUUUAAGAUAGUAGAUCGUACCACAAAGAUUUCAGAAUCCCAAGGGCACAAACAGUAACCUUAGACUUGCUAUGCUUUCUGCAAGUACACCAGUACUCGCCAAAGCAGGCACGUGCCAAUUGCUUAAAGGAUGUUUUUUCAUUGAACUACUCUGGUUUUAUAUAAUGGGUACCCACCGUGAACCCUGUCAGGUGCUUGUGAUUAUGGGCUGAGGAGCUGGGUUUGCUCAGCAGAGAGGGAGCACUGGGAUGGGAAGCACAAGUGCUGCUUGUGAUCACAUGGGGAGGAUACAGCUGUGUGCUGGGGCCCACAGGGAGAAGAGACCAGGCAUGGGGCUUCUUUGCAGUUAGAACAAAUCUCUUCACCCCAAGGCUUGAAGGCAUCAGGAGCCCUGGCUGCAAUGAUAACAGUGAGUGACUGGAGUGAUAACACCCUGAGGAGAGAGUAUUUAGGGGGCAGAGACAGGCUGAAUGAGAGAGGUGGGCUGGGAUGAGCUUUGGGGAUUUGCAGUGGCUGUGGAGGUGUUGGGUGUACUGGAUUUAUCGCCCUUCCAUCUCCCUGGCCUCUCUGUUCUGGCACUGUUGCUAGCUAGCUGCUUCUGCUGGGGAAAUACAGCAGAAAAAGUCUGUUUCUUCAUACACUUCUAAGAAUUUUUUUUCUUUUGGCCUCAAAGUCAUCCUUUUUAAUAGGAUUUUAGAUAAAUUUCAUGGUACGUAUUACUUAUUUUGCUUGUGUAAUGGCUUGUAAGUAGGAUUUUAGAUUAAUUUAAUUUUAAUUGUUUCUUAUUUUGUUUGGAUAAUGCCUUAUAGUAAGACUUUUGAAAUUAAUGUGAACCUAUUACUAAAUUGUAAUGCAGUAAUUAUGGAAAUAAUGAAUUUAUUAUCACAAUUGUUGUGAGAAUAUGUAAGAAGGAGAUUCUAAUGACCCGACUCUCCCUUGCCUUUGCUGAUACAUCAAAAGAAAGCAUGGUCUGGAGUAUUACAUUUUAUACUCAAACAAUUUAACUUUUGGGGUAAGUUUUCAGAAGCUCGUGCUCACCUGGAAUGUCAGAGGAAUAUUCUUGUUAUGGAACAAAACUCCUUUUGUGACCAGGUUGAGUGCAGAGGACAAACUGACAAAACCAGCUUCAGCGUUUAUGCAGGAACUGCUGGUGCUGGUUUUCUUUUGUCUUAGUGACUUCAGACACUUUCUCGAGGCUUCCUAACGAAGUAUGCUUUCUUAAAUGUUGCUUCUGUUUGAUCAGGUUCUGAUUUUUCGGGGGGAAAUGUGGGAAUGCGCGUCCUGUUGCUCUGAGUUGCACAAAGCUUUAUUUACUUUUUAAACUGUUCCUGUAAUGAUAAGCACCUGGGGAUGAGGCUACCUACCUCUACAAAACAGCAAGGAGUCUCUUUAAGAUACUGUUUCAAAGUGGUUUGU